rnacentral:rRNA from 1 species
GCCGCCGAUUCCCGUCCUGCGGUAGGGGCCCCUGGCCCCCAAGGGCACGUGUCGCUGGUGAAGCCCGCCCGGCGGACGAGCCGUGCGGGCCGCCUUGAAGCACAAUUCCUACCGAGCGGCGGGUAGAAUCCUCUGCAGACGACUUAAAUACGCGACGGGGUAUUGUAAGUGGCAGAGUGGCCUUGCUGCCACGAUCCACUGAGAUUCAGCCCUUUGUCGCUUCGAUUCGU